UACAGAGGUCUCAAGCGUUGUUCGGAUUCAUUGGGCGUAAAGGGUGCGUAGGCGGCGGAGCAAGUCAGGUGUGAAAUCCCGGGGCUCAACCCUGGAACUGCACUUGAUACUGCUUUGCUAGAGUACUGGAGAGGAGAUUGGAAUUUACGGUGUAGCAGUGAAAUGCGUAGAUAUCGUAAGGAGGACCAGUGGCGAAGGCGAAUCUCUGGACAGUUACUGACGCUGAGGCACGAAGGCCAGGGGAGCAAACGGG
rnacentral:rRNA from 1 species